UUUGGUUUCUGAAAUUCUUUAAGUGUUUCUUAAUUUUGUAUUGUACAGGGGAAGAUGUGUUUACUCCAGUUCCUUUUGAAAUCUGUUGCAGUUUUGCCAUGAAUUAUGAUUGGAACAGAUUGAAAAAUGUCUUUGUUUCAAUUUUCCUAAAAUAAAUUAUUCAAAGCAGCUCAUUAUCUAUAAUUCUAUCCUGAGUUAAAAUAAAAAUAUUCUUUCUAGGUCAAUCUUCAUUGAGCUAUUAAUAUCCUUUUCAUAUUAUAAGAUUUCUUAAUUUCCUUUAUUAGCAACUGCAAGCAGCUGAAUGUCAUUGCUUUGAGUAUUAAUUGAUAUUUGAGUUCUCUUCAGUGGUUUUGCUCUUACUUAUGUCAGCAACCUUCAGUCUAGUACACAUAGAACCCAGAUCGUUCUCAUACGGGACGCAGGGGGAUCCAAAGCAUUGGAUCCAUUGAACCGUAUUUAUGCUUUAAUUUUACUUCUGGUGAUAGAUGUGCCUCUUCUAUAAUUUGCAUGGCAGCAAAAUUCAGAAUUGUCGCAGAGACAUACAAUUAUUGGUUCAUUUGGGAAAGCUGGAACUUUAUUAUCUUACUGUAUGUUCAAGAACAUAAAAACUUGAGCAUAAAUAAAUGAGAAGUCAACUUACAAAAUUCAGCACAGCAUCUGAAUAUUUGGUUCAUUAUAUUAAACGAUAUGUGAUUUGUUCAAAAAGAAUAUAUAAAAAUCUAUUUAUUAUUGAAGUAUAGAUAGUUUACAGGGGAAAUUGUAUUGGUUUCAAGUGUACAGCAAAGGGAUUCAGUUAUACAUAUAUUUUUUUGAAUUCUUUUCCAUUAUAGGUUAUGACAAGAUAUUGAAUAUAAUUCCCUGUGUUAUACAGUAGGUCCUUGUUGGUUAUUUUAUAUAUAAUAGUAUUUAUUUUUUAAUCUCAAUAUCCUAAUUUAUUACUCUACCCACCUCCCCUUUGAUAAGCUUGUUUUCUAUAUCUGUGAGUCUGUUUCUGCUUUGUAUCAUUUUUUAAAAGAUUCCACAUAUAAGUGAUAUCAUAUGAUAUUAGUCUUUGUCUGACUUACUUCACUUAAUAUGAUAAUCUCUAGGUCCAUCCAUAUUGCUGCAAAUGGCAUUAUUUCAUUCAUUUUUAUGGUUAGAGAACUUGUAAGUUUUAGUUACAUCACACAUGCAGAGACUCCUAAAGAACAUUCUUGUAUGUAUUUUAGAGUUCUUAUAUAAAAAUGCUUCACCAGGAGUUCCUGUUGUGGCACAGUGGAUAAUGAAUCUGACUAGGAACCAUGAGGUUGCAGGUUUGAUCCCUGGCCUUGCUUAAUGGGUUAAGGAUCCGGCGUUGCCAUGAGCUGUGGUGUAUGUCGCAGAUGCAGCUCGGAUCCCGUGUUGCUGUGGCUCUGGCGUAGGCUGGAGGCUGCAGUUCCGAUUUGAUCCCUAGUCUGGGAACCUCUAUAUGCCGGGGGAAGCAGCCCUAGAAAAGGCAAAAAGACAAAAAAAAAAAAAAAAUGCUUCACCAAAGUGUGUGGAAAUUUAUUUUAUUACCUGUACUACCAUAAAUCUAAGCCAAUAAUCAACAUUAUGAGCUUUUUCUUGUUUGCAAAUCCAAAAAUUCAAAAAUAAAUCUCUCCCUUUUUGAAUUCCUUCCUUCACCUGCUGAAGCCUCUCCACCUGUCCUUUAGAUUACACACCAUGUUUCCUGCUGGGACUCAAAGACUCCAGUUGUCUCAAAACUUGGUGAUAGGGAGUUCUCUGGUAGUGUAGUGCCUAGGACUCAGCACUUUCACCACUGUGGCCCAGGUUCAGUCCCUGGUCUGGGAACUGAUAUCGUCUGGCCAAAGUCCAAGAAGACCAAAACAUAACACCCCCAAACCAAAAAACACUUGAUGGCAAUAAAAAGUGUAUUCACUACUUCACCCAAGGGUGUAUUGGGCCUGGUAUUGCACUGAAGGCUGAAGCUACUACAGUUGUGAACAAAAGUGGUAUCUUCCAUAUUUGCCUCUAUGGAACUUCCACAGUUGCCUCUAUGGAACUUAUAGGUCAGGGACAGAGAUGUUACUGAGAUAAUUGUUGGAAUGCAGGUGCAUUUCCCAACUGAGAAGAGGCCUGUGGGUAUAGAAGGAUCUGUUUCAGUCUGAUGAUGGUGGCUGGCAGGGAAGGGCUCCCUGGGAAAAGAUCUUUGCUCUGAAGAUGAGUAGGAGCUAAUCGACCAUCAUAAUUGGGGUAGUAAAUGGGCUAGGAGGAAGAGCUUUGUAAUUGGACAUGCAAAGGCCCUGUGGUAGGAGGCAGGGAAACAAGUUUGAGGAACUGAAAGAAAGCCAUGUGGCUGAGACUAGAACACAAGGUGAAGUUUGGUGACAGGUAAAGCCAAAAUGGGCUAGAACAAAGCCUGCCUGAUUAUUUUGUAAAUGCAGUAAGAAGGCAGUGAUGAAUUUAAGCAAAGGUGGAAGUCAAGGUGAGGAUGGUGUGUGUAUGUGUGUGUGUGUUUUCAUAGGCAGGUACCCUGAUUGGGUUUACAUUACGUAAAUUGUAAUAAAAUAUGAAAAGAAGGCCUAGAUUUUAAAAAGUCAUGAUCUUGCUUACCAUGCACCUGUUGCCCAUGUAAGCAAAUAGUUCAUGAUUCUUUUGGAAUUAGUUCUUUUCAACAAUGCAGUUAUUUUUCAGAGUUUAGCCAAGAAAUACUAAUAAAGUCAUUUUCCUACUGGGCGGAGAGUCCCAGUCCAAUUUAGUGUCCACAACUAACCGUUGCAAUAUAAUUUAAUCCUUAACAACUCGACCAAAGCCAAGACAACAGUAAAUGUGUUUUUACUCAUAAUUAAGGCUGCUCAAAAGUAAAAGUUAAACAAAGGCAGCGGAACGAUGUACAAAUAAUGACUUGGUAGAAAUGGGUCCAGUAUGUGCUGAUGAAAGUAGAUGUGGGAGUUCCCGUCAUGGCACAAUGGUUAAUGAAUCCGACUAGGAACCAUGAGGUUGCAGGUUCGAUCCCUGCCCUUGCUCAGUGGGUUAACGAUCUGGCGUUGCCGUGAGCUGUGGUGUAGGUUGCAGACGCGGCUCGGAUCCCGCGUUGCUGUGGCUCUGGCGUAGGCCAGCGGCUACAGCUCCGAUUGGACCCCUAGCCUGGGAACCUCCAUAUGCCGCUGCAGCGGCCCAAGAAGUGGCAAAAAGACCAAAAAAAAAAAAAAAAAAAAAAAAAAAAAA
rnacentral:lncRNA from 1 species